GAUGAACGCUGGCGGCGUGCCUAAUACAUGCAAGUCGAGCGAACGGACGAGAAGCUUUCUUCUCUGAUGUUAGCGGCGGACGGGUGAGUAACACGUGGAUAACCUCCCUAUAAGACUGGGAUAACUUCGGGAAACCGGAGCUCAUACCGGCUACUAUUUUGAACCGCAUGGUUCAAGAGUGAACGACGGUCUUGCUGUCACUUGUAGAUGGAGCCGCGCUGCAUUAGCUAGUUGGUAAGGUAACGGCUUACCAAGGCAACGAUGCAUAGCCGACCUGAGAGGGUGAUCGGCCACACUGGAACUGAGACACGGCCCAGACUCCUACGGGAGGCAGCAGUAGGGAAUCUUCCGCAAUGGGCGAAAGCCUGACGGAGCAACGCCGCGUGAGUGAUGAAGGUCUUCGGAUCGUAAAACUCUGUUAUUAGGGAAGAACAUAUGUGUAAGUAACUGUGCACAUCUUGACGGUACCUAAUCAGAAAGCCACGGCUAACUACGUG
rnacentral:rRNA from 1 species